rnacentral:rRNA from 1 species
AACGGCCGUACCAUGCGGAAUAUACCGGUUCUCGUUCGAUCACCGAAGUCAAGCAUCAUUGGGCGCGGUCAGUACUUGGGUGGGUGACCACCUGGGAACACUGCGUGCCGUU